GACGAACGCUGGCGGCGUGCUUAACACAUGCAAGUCGAGCGGUAGGGCCCUUUCGGGGGUACACGAGCGGGCGAAACGGGUGAGUAACACGUGGGUGACCUGCCCUCAGCUCUGGGAUAAGCCUGGGAAACCGGGUCUAAUACCGGAUAUGACUCCAUGACGCAUGUUGUGGGGUGAAAGCCUUGUGCGGCUGAGGAUGGGCCCGC
rnacentral:rRNA from 1 species